rnacentral:rRNA from 1 species
GAUGAACGCUAGCGGCAGGCCUAAUACAUGCAAGUCGAACGGCAAGAUUUGGUAGCAAUACUAAAUCCUAGAGUGGCGCACGGGUGAGUAACGCGUACAUGACAUACCUAUAAGCGAGGGAUAGCAUUGGGAAACUGGUAGUAACCCCUCAUGUGAUUAUUUGUAAUAAAGGUAAAUAAUUAAAACUACGGUGCUUAUAGAUUGGUGUGCGUCUGAUUAGCUAGUUGGCGAGGUAACGGCUCACCAAGGCGACGAUCAGUAGGGGGCGUGAGAGCGUGAACCCCCACACGGGUACUGAGACACGGACCCGACUCCUACGGGAGGCAGCAGUAAGGAAUAUUGGUCAAUGGAGGGAACUCUGAACCAGCCAUGCCGCGUGCAGGAUGAAAGCCCUCUGGGUUGUAAACUGCUUUUAACAGGGAAGAAAAUGCUAUACGUGAUAUAGUACUGACGGUACCUGAGGAAUAAGCACCGGCUAACUCCGUGCCAGCAGCCGCGGU